rnacentral:piRNA from 1 species
UCAAAAGUCUUGCUAAAGGA